GACAUCUCAGAGUGAAGUGUAAGUACAGAGAUACCCCAUAGAGCAGUGGUUCUCAGCUUGGGGGUCAAGACCCUGUUGGGUGAUCAAACAACCUUUUCACAGCGGUCACCAAAGACCAUCAAAAUUAUAAUUCAUUCAUAAUAGUAGCAAGAUUAUAGUUAUGAGAUAGCAAUGAAAAUAAUGUUAUGGCUGGGGGUCACCACAGCAUGAGGAACUGUUUUAAAAGGUCCCAGCAUUGGGAAAGUUGAGAACUGCUGCCUUAGAGAGUGCCGUUGAAGCAAGAUUGCCACAGGCGCUAGUCAACUCAUCACUUUCAAUACCUCAUCUUAUUUUCACUAUUAACCAACUAACGCCUAUGGGACACCCCCAAGAAAAAUAUUUCUGCUUUGAAUUUCCAACAAGUGCUCCUGGCAGAGCUGGGCACCCCCAAACCUGUAAAGGCCAGCAUUUCAUCGGACAGUACUUCUGGGAGUGCGCAAAGCUUGUGUUUGGAAUGAGGAUGAAGGACGGCCUGGAGACUCGUUGUCUCUCCAUCUCCCAGGGAUGUGCGGCCCAGUGACACUGAUCAGCUACUCUACUUUGUCUCCUGUUCAACUCCUGGCAUUUCAGCUGUGGACUACUGAGCCUCCAUUGCUUAGCUAUCCAUCUAGGCAGCAAACCUGAUUUCUGAUUGUUCCCUUGGUCCCAGAUGAAAAAAACAAAACAAGCAGAUAGAUGCAUUUCCAAGUCUUCAAGUCCCGUGUUCAAAGAGUGAUAUAGCUCAUCUAAAGCUCAACAAAAUCUCCCAGGUAUCUCGUGCCUCAGCUUGCUCCUGUCCUGUGAAACUCCCCAGCCAAGCGCAGAGCAUUCCCACCCUGCGGCUGAACAAGCAGAAGCCCCAGCUUGGAGUUACCAGAGUCUUACUUUUCUCCGUGCUCCCAGGCCAUCUUCAGUGAGAAGGCACCACAGGGAAGAACUCUCUUGCCCUACCUACCCAUUCGCCUUGAUCCAUUAUUCUAGGCUUCUAGUUCUCAGACUGGAUUUCCACCUAUCAGGUUAAUGCCCACACAGGGGUGAGAUCUCCAUCUCUGUCUUUUUCCCAUUCUCCUCCUCUCUCCACUCUUCUCAUGGGCUCGUCUCACUGUAUUUAUCCUCACUGACUCUUCUGGCUGAGAAUCUGUAGUUCCCUUUCCGUAGGAACAGCAUGGCGAUCUUCCUCUCUAUUAGAGCUUACAUUUAAGGAUUUUGUUCACUGUGAGGUCAACCUCCUGACACAUUGUCUGAAGCAAGCUCUCAUGCUAGUCCAGUGUUCUUGUGUGACCAUCUGGACUCGUUGUUCUAUGAACUACCUUGUUGUCUUCGUUCCUUUCUGACUGCUAUGAUAAGACACCGUGAUGAAGGCAACUUAUAUCAGAAAGAGCUUACUUGGAGCUCACAUUUUCAGAGGGCUGUAGUCCAUGGCCGCCACAGUAGGAGCAUGGCAGCAGGCAGGCAGGCAGGCAGGCAGGCAUGGCUCUGGAGCAGUAGCUGAGUGCUUACAUAUGGGAUGCAGCCAUGAGGUAGAGAGCACUAACUGGCAAUAGCAUCAAGUUUUAAAACCUCUAAGCCUACACCCAGUGACACAUUUCCUCUGAUAAGGUCACGUCUCUGAAUCCUUCCCAAAAAAUUCCACCAGGGGGGACCAAGUAUUCAAACAUAAGAGCCUAUGAAGAGGCCCAUUCUCACUUAAACCACCACACUUAAUGAGAUUUUUUCUUUUAUUCUCCCCCAACCCCCAUUUCUGUUACAUCACCAUUGGGCUAUAAAAUCUUUAGAGCGAUUACUUUAAAUUAUUGAGUGGCUUUCCCCCAUGAACUGAAGAAAAUUAUGACAUGGGAUGUGACAAAUGUUAGCCUUAUUUCUGUGUUCACUUAUUGCUAAGUUAAUUACUCUGUUUAGUAACGAGAAUGUGCAAACCAGCUUGUGUAGGUUGGGAGUGCCAGAUCCAUGGAUCCAUACUUGAACCAUGCUUGGAGCAUGCCUGACAGGAACUGCUGUAGGAGGACUGCUGUGGUGCCUCCACGACAGAGAGCACCUCUUACUGAGUCCAGAGCAACAGAGCCUUGUGAAAAGGAGAAGACAGGGUUGAGUGGAUAAAUCUCUGGCUCCCAGAAUGAGAACCAUUUCCUUCGUGGGUUCUUCUUUCAGUGGAGUGGGCUUCAGCCCAGACCAGAACUAAAAUAUUCUCUUUUCCUCAUGCUUAUGCUCCUCAUAUCUAAGAUUUUGAGGAUAUCUAAAGUACUGGUCUUUCUGUCUUAGAUGAAAGUUCCUUUCCUGGGCUUCAGACAUCUCUGCUCACCUACCAGUCAGAUAUUAAAAGUAACAGCUUUAUUGAGGCAAAACAAGCACAUGAUGAGCUUCACACAUUUGAAGAGUAAAAUUUCUUACGUCUGACAGCUGCUUCAAGCUGAAAAGCUGUCACGAGAAUUGAGGAAUGUACUUCUCAGAACAGGGUCCCCUCUGCUGUCCUUCUCUUCCCUCAUAGUCCCAGGAGAACCGAUCUCCUUUUGCUGUAGGACAUUUUUUCAUGUGCUGCACGUAGCAUCAUUGGUAAGACGCAUUCCAGUCAGGAUUCAGAGGCUCACUUCCUUUUAUUCUCGAACAGCAUGCUGUCGGAGUUAUAUUACAGCUGCCUUGUGCAGUCAGUCACUGAUGUUCUUUAUAGUUUGUGGCUACUAUGAACAAAACUACUAUGAAGUUGCUUCAUUUCUUACCCAUAAAUACCCAGAUGUAGAAUGUCUAACGUAGAAGAGAAAGAAAAGGAAAGAAUGUAAAAUUGUUUCUAAAGGUUUGUACCUUGGCUUUGUGAUCUUUCAGAUAAGGCCAAGUACAGAAGACAUGUGCCUACAAGCGCCACUGCAUCUUUGCCGAAUACUAAGACUACCCACAUUGCCUUCAGCCUAAUUACAUUUAUAGAAUUGUGACAAUUACCCUGAGCAGCUCAGACUCCUGCUCUCUGCUCUCCUCUUCCGUAUCCUGCCUCAGUGCCAUUCUUCAAGACCCUACUUGAGUCUCUGACAUCUGUCCACACUUCUUUCCACCCAAAGAAACAUAGGCAUCCUACAGACUUGGCCACUCCCUCCAUAGUACUGGGUCCAUGUGCUAUAUAUAAUUCAUGCACCUGAAAGGUACCUUGUCCUACCUAGGAAAGGAAAACAGAAUGAAAGGAAAGCAGAAACACCCAUGAUAUCACCGUGUACAUUGGGAUUCACAACAAGCUUGAAUGUUUCCCUUCCUUGAGGAACAGCGAGUUAAGCCCCAGUCCAAGUUGAAACAGAAAACAAACUUCACUUUCAAAUAGCUCUCUUUCCUUCGGUGAGUCUCCCUUCACGACAGGACCAAUCACAGUGAAAUACAGCAUUCAUAUUUCUGAGCAAUAAGCCAAAAGAGGGCACUAGCAAGAGAUGCCUACAAAUUUCCAUUCCUUUCAAGUUUCAUGCUUACAAUUUAAAAACUUCGAGCCCAGGGGAGAAAGGAACUCUAAGGUUUCUCAGCCUUUUAGGGAAAGAAGCAGGCCUGUUUUGGAGAUGCCCCUGGGACUGCUACAAAAGCCUCCUAACUGGAGGACUCUGUGCUCCCACUAAACCCUGGGGCUGAACCAGCCCCUGGAGGAGCAGAAGAAAGGAGAUCGUCUUACAGGGCAAUUCCAGUGUGCUCCGUUUCCUUUGCUAAGUUGUGCAUCUGCAGAAGGUACUAUUUUAACUGUUUCUGGACUUCAGCAAAUAAAAUCAUAGCUACGAAACACA